rnacentral:lncRNA from 1 species
CUCUCGAGGAAAAGGUCAUGUUUUGUUUUGUACUUAUGUCGGCGUCGCAAAGUGGGAAAAAUAAGGAUUAUGAACCAGUUGCAUUUUUUUACAUUUUGUAAAAAAAAAUUAAGAAUCUCGACUGCGACAUCCAACUGAGACGCGUUCAAAUUACAAUUGCACGUGAAAUUAUGAAAUAUGCAUCUCAAAGUAUUUAAAACUGUUCAAUCAUUAUUUGGAUAUGUAAAAAGUUGCUCAAAUUACAAAAUAUAUUCCCUUCCCGUGUACCUUUCUUUAUCUUGUUUUACACAGAAGACAAAAUACACACUAGUGCAAAUAUUAUUUAAUAGCUCGACUGCAUUGUGGCUUUAAAGUGCCUAUGACACGAAAUUUCACCCCAAAUGUUUAUGAUUGCAUUGUAAAGAUAAUUUAUAAUGACUUAAUAAUUUCUUUUAUAGAAUUUUGGCAACUUGCUUCCUUUGCAAGAUAUUCAACUUUGUUUCAUAUGCCGCAAAUAUCACCGGUGUGACAUCACAUCGCAUAAUGACAUUUUGAAAACGCAAU